UUCGCAAUGCCCGAAAGGGUGACGAAGCGACGCCGCGUGGGUGAAGAAGGCCUUCGGGCUGUAAAGCCCUGUCAGGAGUUAUGAAAUGUAGGUGCGAUAAUACCGUGCCUAUUUGACAAAGGCUCUAAAGGAAGCCACGGCUAACUCUGUGCCAGCAGCCGCGGUAAUACAGAGGUGGCAAGCGUUGUUCGGAAUUAUUGGGCGUAAAGAGCACGUAGGUGGGUUUGUAAGUCAGAUGUGAAAGCCUUCUGUUCAACGGAAGAAUUGCAUCUGAAACUGCGAGUCUUGAGUGUAGGAGGGGAGAAUGGAACUUCUGGUGGAGCGGUGAAAUGCGUAGAUAUCAGAAGGAACGCCGGCGGCGAAAGCGAUUCUCUGGCCUAUUACUGACACUGAGUGUGCGAAAGCUAGGGGAGCAAACGGGAUUAGAUACCCCGGUAGUCCUAGCCGUAAACGAUGGGCACUAAGUAGAGGGGUUUU
rnacentral:rRNA from 1 species